CCGCCCGCCCCUUUCCACAAAUGCCACCAAUCAAGCCAUUUCUUUCUCAAGGGGAACUGAGUGAUUUGCAGGGUUUGGGGAAGGUUGCCUGUGCCUAAAGCAUCAUUCCGUCCCACUCUGGUAAGAUUCAUAACUAGCAUGAUUUGGGGGCUUAUCCUAGUGGGAGACUUUGAGAAGGAAAUCAACGUCUUCAAGGGGAAGCAGGUGGAAACACCUUGAGAUAGAUAUCUCCCCAGUCAGGCCAGGCUGGGCAGGGGGAGGCAGAAACAGAAAACAGAAUGAGUGUUCUGGGCAUCCUGCAGUGUGGGGGUCUGUAGUGCCAGCACCAAAGGGGCAACUGAGCUCAGGGCAGAGACAGGAGAACAGCAUCACGUAUUAUUGAUCACGUUACUUUGAAAAUUAUUUUAGAAGUUAGUGUUGUUCUUUUUAUUAUUAUUAGCAAUAUGGAAGGCACUUAAGGACAAAAUUUACUCAGCAACUUUUAGCAGAUAUUUAUUAAACACCGCAACGUACCAAGCAAUGAACAGAAUGAACAAGAAUCCCUGCCUUUAUGGAGUUUGCAAUCUCAUGGAGAUAAGUAACAGCCACCACGUGGCACUGAGAACACGCCAGCCACUGUGCUGAACACGUUUUACACAUUAAUUCAUGAAUCCUUCACAUAACACUGACUCAGGAUGGGCAACAGCUCAUCUCUGCUUGGUAAGGUCUACAGCUUCAACUGAGGACUUUAAUCCUGAGGGUAACUCAAGAGCAGGAGCAGGAAACAUCAGCGGCCAUCCUCACUCCUGCAUGUCUGGCCAUUGGUGCUGCCUGUCAGGUGCUGUGCACGGAGCUCGACUAUCCUGAAUCCACCAUGAUUCGACCUCAUGUCAGUCCUUUGGCUGCCAGCCCAGUUCAACUCCAAGCUGAUGACCAGUGUCGACCGCCAGUCAUUCUGAACAUUUGACCAGUUGAGCUUUCAAAUGAUGGCAGUCCUGGCUGACAUUUUGGGUGAACAAUAUGAGAGACUGACUGGUUGAGCCCUUCCCAAAUUUCUGACCCACAACAUUGUGAGAAAAAUAAUCUUAAGCCUCUCAGUUUGGGGACAAUUUGUUACUCAGCAAUAGAAAUGAAAAUAUGAUCUCAGUAGGACCAUGUGACUUGCAGCAACCAGGGUGACAAUGAACGUCCCUGCAGAUACCCGAGGAGGGGACGCAUGAAGGUUCCCUAGGUGCCCUGUAAAUCUACAGCUUCCUGCUUUCCUCUGCCACAAACACAUGACACGCUGUACCUCUACACCUAAUCUUUUGGUUUGGAAAGGAACGGAAGGUGAUAGAAAUCUGAAAGUUGCGACUGAGGUUUACCAUCCUAAACACAUUAUUUCAGGAGACUAACUCCAAGAUGAUUGGCAUGAACUAGAAUUUUUCUCCCCUUUCUUAUAAAGCAAAUGGGACAGCUCAGGAGGAAGAUCGGAGCAGUUAUAUACAAAAAAUUAACACACAAAUGAAGCAACCACGUGGCCUCUGUGUAUAUGGAGAAAAGUGUGAGCAAAUGUGGGGCCCUAAUACAGAAUGUCAGCCAGGAAGACGAGGAAGGCAGACCUCCCUAGAACAGUGGUACAAGACAUUGGUGGUCAUCUUAACAGAUGUGCACUGACUGAUAUCCUUCAGAAUAGGAAGGAAAUGUGAGAUCUUAAGAAGGAAUUCUAGGGGAGGUCUCAGCUUUACCCCCUGUGACUUGCACUUGGUCAGUAUACAACUUAUUCUUCCCACCAGAGUGAUAGAAAGAAAAAAAGAAACUGAGUUCUGUAUGUUGAGAAAUAUCAUCUUGGCCUUUAAAUUAUUUUAAAAUUAUAGCAACAUGAGUCUUCCUGAAA
rnacentral:lncRNA from 1 species